rnacentral:rRNA from 1 species
UACGAAGGGUGCAAGCGUUACUCGGAAUUACUGGGCGUAAAGCGUGCGUAGGUGGUUUGUUAAGUCUGUUGUGAAAGCCCCGGGCUCAACCUGGGAAUGGCAAUGGAUACUGGCAAGCUAGAGUGCGGUAGAGGGUAGUGGAAUUCCCGGUGUAGCGGUGAAAUGCGUAGAGAUCGGGAGGAACACCAGUGGCGAAGGCGGCUACCUGGACCAUAACUGACGCUGAGGCACGAAAGCUAGGGGAGCAAACAGG